rnacentral:rRNA from 1 species
AUUGAACGCUGGCGGCAUGCUUUACACAUGCAAGUCGGACGGCAGCACAGAGAAGCUUGCUUCUUGGGUGGCGAGUGGCGAACGGGUGAGUAACAUAUCGGAACGUACCGAGUAAUGGGGGAUAACUAAUCGAAAGAUUAGCUAAUACCGCAUAUUCUCUGAGGAGGAAAGCAGGGGACCUUCGGGCCUUGCGUUAUUCGAGCGGCCGAUAUCUGAUUAGCUAGUUGGUGGGGUAAAGGCCUACCAAGGCGACGAUCAGUAGCGGGCCUGAGAGGAUGAUCCGCCACACUGGGACUGAGACACGGCCCAGACUCCUACGGGAGGCAGCAGUGGGGAAUUUUGGACAAUGGGCGCAAGCCUGAUCCAGCCAUGCCGCGUGUCUGAAGAAGGCCUUCGGGUUGUAAAGGACUUUUGUCAGGGAAGAAAAGGCUGUUGCUAAUACCGACAGCUGAUGACGGUACCUGAAGAAUAAGC